UUGCAGCUUUGCUGAAGCACACUGGGCUACUGGGCCAAGCCUGUGGAGAGGAAAGGUAUCAACCUUCCAAGUCCCUCUCAGAAGUCUAUCGCAGUGUUUAUAAAGUGAGAAACCGCCUGCUGGCCUGUAAGAACAUGGACUUUAUUCAGACCAGGUCUUCUUCACGUGAACGGAGGAUUUCAGACAAUCAGGACUCUCUGGAUAUGGACCCUCAGGAGCACUCGUUCACUCGCACCAUUGACGAGGAAGCAGAGCUUGAAGAGAGAGCGGACUGUGAAAGAGAAGACAGUCACCAGGAGCAAAACAAUGAAGAGGAUGACAGAGAACAUGAAGUGAUGACAG